rnacentral:rRNA from 1 species
UGGGGAAUAUUGCACAAUGGGCGAAAGCCUGAUGCAGCGACGCCGCGUGAGGGAUGACGGCCUUCGGGUUGUAAACCUCUUUCAGCAGGGACGAAGCGCAAGUGACGGUACCUGCAGAAGAAGCACCGGCUAACUACGUGCCAGCAGCCGCGGUAAUACGUAGGGUGCAAGCGUUGUCCGGAAUUACUGGGCGUAAAGAGUUCGUAGGCGGUUUGUCGCGUCGUUUGUGAAAACCAGCAGCUCAACUGCUGGCUUGCAGGCGAUACGGGCAGACUUGAGUACUGCAGGGGAGACUGGAAUUCCUGGUGUAGCGGUGAAAUGCGCAGAUAUCAGGAGGAAUACCGGUGGCGAAGGCGGGUCUCUGGGCAGUAACUGACGCUGAGGAACGAAAGCGUGGGUAGCGAACAGG